AACGAACGCUGGCGGCAUGCCUAACACAUGCAAGUCGAACGAUACCUUCGGGUCUAGUGGCGCACGGGUGCGUAACGCGUGGGAACCUGCCCUUAGGUUCGGAAUAACUCCCCGAAAGGGGUGCUAAUACCGGAUAAUGUCUUCGGACCAAAGAUUUAUCGCCCUUGGAUGGGCCCGCGUUGGAUUAGCUAGUUGGUAGGGUAAAAGCCUACCAAGGCGACGAUCCAUAGCUGGUCUGAGAGGAUGAUCAGCCACACUGGGACUGAGACACGGCCCAGACUCCUACGGGAGGAAGCAGUGGGGAAUAUUGGACAAUGGGCGAAAGACUGAUCCAGCAAUGCCGCGUGAGUGAUGAAGGACUUAGGGUUGUAAAGCUCUUUUACACGGGAUGAUAAUGACAGUACCGGGAGAAUAAGCUCCGGCUAACUCCGUG
rnacentral:rRNA from 1 species